rnacentral:rRNA from 1 species
GAUCAUGGCUCAGGAUGAACGCUAGCUACAGGCUUAACACAUGCAAGUCGAGGGGAAACGACAUCGAAAGCUUGCGUUUUUGGUGGGCGUCGACCGGCGCACGGGUGAGUAACGCGUAUCCAACCUACCCUUGUCCAUCGGAUAACCCGUCGAAAGGCGGCCUAACACGAUAUGCGGUUCUCAGCAGGCAUCUAACGAGAACGAAAUGUGAAGGAGAAGGAUGGGGGAUGCGUCUGAUUAGCUUGUUGGCGGGGUAACGGCCCACCAAGGCGACGAUCAGUAGGGGUUCUGAGAGGAAGGUCCCCCACAUUGGAACUGAGACACGGUCCAAACUCCUACGGGAGGCAGCAGUGAGGAAUAUUGGUCAAUGGGCGAGAGCCUGAACCAGCCAAGUAGCGUGCAGGAUGACGGCCCUAUGGGUUGUAAACUGCUUUUAUAAGGGAAUAAAGUGAGCCUCGUGAGGCUUUUUGCAUGUACCUUAUGAAUAAGGACCGGCUAAUUCCGUG